CUUGUAAUUCCUGUCCGGAGGUAAACAUAAUAUUCACUACAGUUGUGUGCGGAAAGUAUGUUGGCACAUCUUAUAGUUGUCAGAGGAAGCGAUGGGGGCACGUUUAAUGACAGUGUCUUCUGUUUCUGUCAAAGCCAGGAUCAUUUUGAAAAACAAACACCUGGUUGGGUUAUUUUGACCCAGCAAUUGGUUUAUUAAUUGCCGCACUUUCUGGAUUCUUCGCUUCUGACUGGAUCACGCUACUCGGACCAGGCGGUAUUUCAUGAGUUCAGUAGAAUCCACUGAAUUGACCCCAACAGAUCAUAUCACCAUGACAGUGGAACUUUUUUCAGCCUUUGCAGUUUGUCAGAUUUUGGAAAGCACCCCUGAGAGGAAAUCCGUAUUAAACCGUUAAAGUGCAAGCAAUUACCAACAAGCAGAGGAGGCUACUUGUGAGACUCCUUGCAUCCCAUCUGCUGGAAACCAAUGGUGAAACCUGAGCCAUCAUCAGACACUAAGAAGGCAUGUGACAAGGCAUUGGUGUAUGAAUUUCCUUGCCUGAAGGAUAUACAGCUGCUAAAGGGGAAACAGCACUGAAGAUGCCAACUCUGCUAGCUCCAUCCAUUUACAGGGGAGGAGGAGAAGUCUUCAGACCUACCACUGUGGAGGCCCAGAGGUCCUUUAUUGACAUGCAACCUGUGGGGACCAACGUGGUGGAAUAUCUGCAAAAUCAGAGAUGUUGCACGUUUUGUGACUUGGGGACGAGCCAAGAAGGACCUGCCAGACCUUUGCCAUUGUUGGAGGCAAUGCCUCUGAGACAAACUCUUUGGUGAAGGAUGUUGAUAAGUUUUUUUUUGUCUUUGAUGUUAACUACACAAAGCAAUAGGUGUGUUCGACUUCAUGCAGCGCUGCGCAGACCGAUCGGCAGGUGACUUGAAGCAGUGCAUUUUGGUUAGUACUUUUGUCCGACUUCAGCUGGCGCUGCAGGCACGUGACUGUGUCAUAUGGUUUUUAAGUACCGCGAGAGCGUUUCGAGAGUAGCCAGCUGGCUCAGCCGGUGCAGCUUCUCCAGAGCGGCUGCCCGGAGUUGUGAUGACGUAACAGCUUUACUUGAUUGGUCGCUUCAUUGAUGACAACGAUCACGUGCGUUUCAAGUUUAAUCCAACCUUUAGUUUCACUAAUAAACAUUAUAAAUUCAUGUUUUAAAACAGGAAAAAAACACUUUAAUAUCCUAAAAUAUGUUAUAUUGUGUCGUGUAAUAAAAUAAAAAUGAAAAUAACAAACUCUAUUGGUAUUUUAAUAAUAUAGGCUUGUUUCCCGUUAUUUUCGGGUAUACAGUUUAAGCAGCAAUUAAAAUAUUCGAUAUAAAAUGUUUCUGGUUGCAACUUUUUAUCAAAAGGUUUGUUUUUAUCAAAUUCAGCAUCUAAUUCACUUAAUUUGCGAUUAUAAACAAGGAAACACGGCGCACACGUCACUACGGCAAGCAGCAGGUGUCCGGCUUGACAGCUCCGUCUUCAGUUCCUCCCUCGACUGCAAGCGGCAAACCUCGUCGAUCGGUCUGCGCAGCGCCGGAUGAUCUCGAACACACCUAUUGUCUUCCCACCUGGGAGUUUCACCAGGAUGCCAUUUAUCAGAUUGAUGGACAUGAGUCCUCCUCUGUUAACAUUUUGAGGACAACAUUUAAUCACUAAUAAUUAACUAUUUCAGUGCUAUGUUUGAAAGAUUCGCCCACAAUGCAAUGCCAACAGGAGUUUACUUACAGGCUGUGAGGUGAAGUGGGAGGAAUUAUGAUAAUUUCGGUCUUGUCUACGUCACCAAUCCCAGGAAGUAAACUGUUGCCUACAAUCUGUGUUUGUUGUAGUCCAAGAAAAGAGAUCACUCGCAUUAUCGUUUACUUUGGGGUUUGUACCUUUUGCAUAUCGUUAACAUGAAUUAAUACACAAUUACACACCAAAGGAAAUGUAAAAAUGUGAAUCGGACCAUAGCUGCUCUUUAAAAAAAAAAAUUGUUUCAGGGCUUCUU